rnacentral:rRNA from 1 species
UACAGAGGGUGCGAACGUUGUCCGGAAUCACUGGGCGUAAAGGGCGCGUAGGUGGCUUGAUAAGUAGGGGGUGAAAUCUCGCGGCUCAACUGCGAGGCUGCCUCCUAAACUGUCGGGCUUGAGCAGAGUAGAGGCAGGUGGAAUUCCCGGUGUAGCGGUGGAAUGCGUAGAGAUCGGGAAGAACAUCGGUGGCGAAGGCGGCCUGCUGGGCUCUUGCUGACACUGAGGCGCGACAGCGUGGGGAGCGAACAGG